AUUGAGAGGUAGCAAAAAGAAGAGGGAUUAACAGGGGUUUUGUCAUUGCCAAUCUUUUAGCGACUCAGAGAUGGGUUAGAAAAUAUAAAGUCAAGACGAUUGAGGAUAGAAAGGGUAAGUAACCUACCAUCAAUCCCACAAGCAACCCUAAGACACCUACCACCAGACAAAGCACUAUUAAGUGUUUCAAGUAUCUAGGGGUUAGACAUAUUGCCUCCAAUGUCCUAAUCA
rnacentral:lncRNA from 1 species